rnacentral:rRNA from 1 species
UACGAGGGGUGCAAGCGUUGCUCGGAAUUACUGGGCGUAAAGCGUGCGCAGGCGGUUUUGUAAGUUUGUCGUGAAAGCCCCGGGCUCAACCUGGGAAUUGCGAUGAAGACUGCAAGGCUUGAAUCUGGCAGAGGGGGGUAGAAUUCCACGUGUAGCAGUGAAAUGCGUAGAGAUGUGGAGGAACACCGAUGGCGAAGGCAGCCCCCUGGGUCAAGAUUGACGCUCAUGCACGAAAGCGUGGGGAGCAAACAGG